rnacentral:rRNA from 1 species
CCGGCGAACGGGUGCGUAACACGUGAGCAAUCUGCCGAUGUCUGGGGGAUAGCCGGGCCAACGCCCGGGUAAUACCGCAUACGCUUGUUGGGGGACAUCCCCUGGCAAGGAAACCUCCGGGGGACAUCGAGGAGCUCGCGGCCUAUCAGCUAGUUGGUGAGGUAACGGCUCACCAAGGCGACGACGGGUAGCUGGUCUGAGAGGAUGGCCAGCCACAUUGGGACUGCGACACGGCCCAGACUCCUACGGGAGGCAGCAGUGGGGAAUAUUGCGCAAUGGACGAAAGUCUGACGCAGCGACGCCGCGUGUAGGAUGACGCCUUUCGGGGUGUAAACUACUGUUGCCCGGGACGAACAUCCUCUUUCGAGAGGACUGACGGUACCGGGUGAGGAAGCACCGGCUAACUCUGUGCCAGCAGCCGCGGUAAUACAGAGGGUGCGAGCGUUGUCCGGAAUCACUGGGCGUAAAGGGCGCGUAGGUGGCUUGGUAAGCGUGUGGUGAAAGCUCGGGGCUCAACCCCGAGUCUGCCGUGCGAACUGCCGAGCUCGAGCAAAGUAGAGGCAGGUGGAAUUUCGGGUGUAGCGGUGGAAUGCGUAGAGAUCCGAAAAAACACCAGUGGCGAAGGCGGCCUGCUGGGCUUUUGCUGACACUGAGGCGCGACAGCGUGGGGAGCAAACAGGAUUAGAUACCCUGGUAGUCCACGCCGUAAACGAUGGGUACUAGGCGUCUGGGGGAGCGACCCCCUGGGUGCCGGCGCUAACGCAUGAAGUACCCCGCCUGGGGAGUACGACCGCAAGGUUGAAA